GAUGAACGCUGGCGGCGUGCCUAAUACAUGCAAGUCGAGCGAACAGACGAGGAGCUUGCUCCUCUGACGUUAGCGGCGGACGGGUGAGUAACACGUGGAUAACCUACCUAUAAGACUGGGAUAACUUCGGGAAACCGGAGCUAAUACCGGAGAAUAUAUUGAACCGCAUGGUUCAAUAGUGAAAGACGGUUUUGCUGUCACAUAUAGAUGGAUCCGCGCCGCAUUAGCUAGUUGGUAAGGUAACGGCUUACCAAGGCAACGAUGCGUAGCCGACCUGAGAGGGUGAUCGGCCACACUGGAACUGAGACACGGUCCAGACUCCUACGGGAGGCAGCAGUAGGGAAUCUUCCGCAAUGGGCGAAAGCCUGACGGAGCAACGCCGCGUGAGUGAUGAAGGUCUUCGGAUCGUAAAACUCUGUUAUUAGGGAAGAACAAAUGUGUAAGUAACUAUGCCCGUCUUGACGGUACCUAAUCAGAAAGCCACGGCUAACUACGUG
rnacentral:rRNA from 1 species